rnacentral:rRNA from 1 species
CACGUAGGGUGCAAGCGUUGUCCGGAUUCAUUGGGCGUAAAGGGCUAGUAGGCGGCUUAGCAAGUCGGGUGUGAAAUCUCCAGGCUUAACCUGGAAUCGCCAUCCGAUACUGCUAUGGCUUGAGUCCGGUAGGGGACCACGGAAUUCCUGGUGUAGCGGUGAAAUGCGCAGAGUAUCAGGAGGAACACCGAUGGCGAAGGCAGUGGUCUGGGCCGGCGACUGACGCUGAAUAGCGAAGCGUGGGUAGCGAACAGG